GGAACACAGACUCAGUAUAGACUAAGAAUGUGUCUCUAAGUGGGUUACAGGAGGCACAGUAUAGAUACAUUUCACUUUCUAGAACAAUGGGAACGUUUUAUAUCUUCAUCUGGGAACAUGAUUCUUGGGUAUAUACAUAUAUAAAAGUCAUUAAGCGGUGUACUUAAGAUUUGCACAUUUUACUUAAUGUAAAUCAUACCAACCCUGCCGCCUCCAGAA
rnacentral:lncRNA from 1 species